AAGUACGAGAUGCGGCCCACAUGCGACGACGAGCACGCCUGCACCCCCUCCGAGCACCUCCGCCACCAGAAGUCCAUCAUGAAGUCCCAGCGCAACGCCCUCCUCAUCGCCGCCGCGCUGCUCCUCUACUGGAUCCUCUUCUCCGUCACCUCCCUCGUCGUCAAGCUCGACCACCUCCAGCAGCGCGUCGACAAGCUCAAGAAGCGCGACGACUGAUCCCCUCCCCAUCGCGUCACGGCCCCGGCCGACGGUGUCGUUUCUUCGUCUUCCCCCG
rnacentral:lncRNA from 1 species